UACGUAGGGUGCAAGCGUUAAUCGGAAUUACUGGGCGUAAAGCGUGCGCAGGCGGUUGUGCAAGACAGAUGUGAAAUCCCCGGGCUUAACCUGGGAAUUGCAUUUGUGACUGCACGGCUAGAGUGUGUCAGAGGGGGGUAGAAUUCCACGUGUAGCAGUGAAAUGCGUAGAUAUCUGGAGGAACACCGGUGGCGAAGGCGGCAUCCUGGACCAACACUGACACUGAUGAGCGAAAGCCAGGGGAGCAAACGGG
rnacentral:rRNA from 1 species